rnacentral:tRNA from 1 species
AAGAUAUUAGUAAAAUCAUUACAUAACUUUGUCAAAGUUAAAUUAUAAGCUAGAGCUUAUAUAUCUUG